AAAUAAAAUAAAUUAAAAUAAAAGAAAGCAGUGAAGCAGUGAAUCAGUGAUCGGUGGCCCAUUUCCUUUUUCAUCGUAAAAGCCUCAAUCGAAUCUUGUCCCACCACCACUCUCUCCUUCCUCUUCUCUGCACUCUCCAUUCCAGCAGCUUAACCAGGCCCUGAGAACCACAAUGAGUCUGGCAUGUCUUGUGUGCCAUAGUGUGGAAAACCCAUCACCAUCACACUCUUUUCGAAGUUCUGUUUCAAAUUCAGAAAAUGAAGGAAGAUGCUAUGCUAUUGCCAACUGUUUAACAAGGAAAUUAUCUCUUCCACCCCCAACAAUGCACUCUUUUCAUCCACCAUCAUCAUCCAAAGUUACCCCACAACCUAUUUCCAGUGACAACGAGGUACCUGGUACUCCAAGGCUGGUACGAAGCCGUGCUGUCAGAAGGGACAUUGUACAAGACUGGAAUUUUGAUGAAGUUGUGAUGGCUUAGACAACAACAUAUGGUAGAAGAAGAAUAGAAGACCAAUGUUGUGUUUGGUAAUUGUGACAAGAUAAAAAUACAGAGAUAGAGAGAUAUACUAUCCUGUAUUUAUGUCACCAACUCCAAAUGUGUCUCUAUCUCUGUAUUUGUAUCCUUUCUCACCUACCAAACGCAUCCUAAAGGACUUGUGGGAUUGGUUGGGAGUAGUUUCCUAUGGGAUAGUUGAUAGUUCAGACUUCAGACCAUGAUAAUGCUGUCUUGCCACUUCAAAUUUUGUUACGGGUUCAUUCUACUGAACUCACCUUCCACUUUCCUUGUAAAAGCUACGGCAUUUGUGACUAUAUCAAGAAAUUUUGAUGCAAGACACUUUGUAUAUUUGUUUGUCCAUUUUUUAUUCU